rnacentral:rRNA from 1 species
UACGGAGGGUGCAAGCGUUACUCGGAAUCACUGGGCGUAAAGAGCGUGUAGGCGGGUUAAUAAGUUUGAAGUGAAAUCCUAUGGCUCAACCAUAGAACUGCUUUGAAAACUGUUGACCUAGAAUAUGGGAGAGGUAGAUGGAAUUUCUGGUGUAGGGGUAAAAUCCGUAGAGAUCAGAAGGAAUACCGAUUGCGAAGGCGAUCUACUGGAACAUUAUUGACGCUGAUGGACGAAAGCGUGGGGAGCGAACAGG